UUGAGAGACGGGAGAGGGCGUGUCCUGGGACUGUGUGGGGGAGGGGCUUUGGAGGUGAGCUUGACCCCAGUCGUUAUGAAUGAGGAACUUGAGUACGUCCAGGUGUCCUCGGAGAGCUGCGUGCACCAGCGCACACUGACCAUGCUUGUCCAAGUGGUCCAGCUAUGGAGAAGACAGAAAGACAUACAGAGUGAGGUGACGAUGCUGAGAUGUCCGGCGGCAGCGGCGUAGCCCAGCGGAGUGAGUCCGCUCUCAGAUGCCGAAUCCACACCGGCUCCGUUCUCCAGCAGCAGGUUCACCAUGUCUGCGUAACCCAGAUGAGCGUGAACACACAGCACCGGAGCGUUGUUCAGCACCUCCGUGCGGUAGUUAACAUUCGCACCGCCGAGGAUCAGCAGCCGGGACACCUGAACACAAUCGCACACAUUAUGUUAACUUAAAGGGACAGUUCACCCAAAAAUGAAGAUAUUUUGAAGAAUGCUGGUUGCUGCAAACAAUGGAUAAUUUUGACAAGAAACUUUUAAUGGCCAUGAGAAUCUUAAGUCCUUUUAAACAGCAUUAUUAAUAGAUUGAUAAUUAUAUUAUUAUUAAACCUCAAAUCGACUACCCCUAUUGACUUCCAUUAUAACGACAUCUUCUGAUUGCAAAGUCUUGACAGCAUAUAAUCAUGCAUUUUUAAUUAUUGGUGGUUUCUCUGUUGGGAAGAGGUAAAGUUUUACAAUUUUUACUGUUGAUCAUCAGUUGGCAGCAUUAACUCUUUAGACAGACCUGUGCAAAAACGUUUCUGGCUUUCAUAUGGAGU